AAAAUUUUACACCACUGUCUCCUAUUAUUUGAGGUGAAUAAAAUAAAACGUCAAAAAUAAAAGAAGUAAUUUUAUAAAUAGUGCGCGAAAAUACGUUCUAGUGAGAAAAAUUUAGAAAUAUUUGAAAGAAAUAGUUGUGAAAGUGUGAUUAAUGUUAUACAAAUAUUAAAAAUGUUUAUUUAAAAAUAAAAAAGUAAAUGAAUUGCAUAUUCAAUAUGUUGCUUGAAUUUACAGAUAAAAAUUUCAAUAAAUAUUAUGGAGGAUUCAUUAAGUGGUUUAAGACUAAAUGAACAAAAUGUGGAACCACACGUGUCGUUUUUAUGUGAAUUAACAAGUAA